CCCUAGUAGCGGCGAGCGAAGCGGGAAGAGCUCAAAUUUGUAAUCUGGCACCUUCGGUGUCCGAGUUGUAAUCUCUAGAAGUGUUUUCCGCGUUGGACCGCACACAAGUCUGUUGGAAUACAGCGGCAUAGUGGUGAUACCCCAUUACACGGUGCGGACGCCCAGCGCUUUGUGAUACACUUUCGACGAGUCGAGUUGUUUGGGAAUGCAGCUCAAAUUGGGUGGUAAAUUCCAUCUAAAGCUAAAUAUUGGCGAGAGACCGAUAGCGAACAAGUACCGUGAGGGAAAGAUGAAAAGCACUUUGGAAAGAGAGUUAAAAGUACGUGAAAUUGUUGGAAGGGAAACGCUUGAAGUCAGACUUGCUUGCCGGGCUUGCUCGGUUUGCAGGCCAGCAUCAGUUUUCUGGGACGGAUAAUGGCAGUUAGAAUGUAGCAGUCUCGGCUGUGUUAUAGCUUUCUGCUGGAUACGUCCUGGGGGACUGAGGAACGCAGCGUGCCGUAUGGCGAGGGCUUUGGUCCUUUCACGCUUAGGAUGCUG
rnacentral:rRNA from 1 species